UAAAUCCACAUUAAUGAGCAUUAAAUCCACAUUAAUGGGGUGAAAAUGAAGCAGCAAUCCUUUUGUCUUCUCAACUCUCAAUGAUAAAUUUAAAAGGAACAUUUUUUAUCUUUUUUUUCCACCCAAAAAGCCCUUUCAGCACUGCUCAACAAAACCCCCCAGAAAACUCAAAAUGCUGAAGAAAAUAAGAUUUUUCUCCCUGACACCAAAUUCGAGACAAGACCAAAAUUGUCAAAAUAUUUCCCCAACAUCCAAAAAUAUAUAUAUAUAUAUAUUUAAAGAAGAGUAUUUUAACAUCUACCUCCUCAACCAGAACACCUUUUUUAUUUAUUUCUAUAUUUUUUAUUUAUUUUCUAUAUCAAAGAGCAGCUGGCACCACUCAAAUUGUACAUUCAGCUUUUCCUCCCUGUCUGUUUAAUGCUCCUAAAAAUCUCCUUUUAAAAUCACUCAGCUCCAGCAGGAUCUGAUAAAUAAAUAUUAAAACACAGCAAUAUUUCCUGCCCCAAAUUUUUACACAAAAAAAUAAAAUCUGGAGAAUUCACACGCCUCAGCAACCAAAUUUUUUCUCAAUUUUUUUUGGUGUGAUUGUCAAAUAUUUAAUUUUUUUUUGCAUGGAGGAAAACAAGCCAGAAAUGCUCUUCAGAAUGUCUGUGCACAGCAAAAAAAAUAAUUUAAAUGACAAUUAAAAAUGAACCUGACAGCGAAAAAACCACACAGGAGCAGGUUGGGGUUUUUAUUUUCCCUGUCCUGAAUUUUCUCCCUGAUUUUCAGUUCCAUCCCUGCUGUAAUAAAGCACUUACGAGUGGCCUAAGGGGUGUCACAAAAUCGUCCUAAAAGUAGAAAUAAUGGGAUUUUCAUCCUGUGGAUUGUGGGAAUAGCUGGGACCGUGGCCAGGAUGGGUCCAAACUGAGCUCAGCCCCUCUGGGUUUUUUUCCCCUCCCAAUUUUCUCCUUUUUUUGGUUUUUUUUUUUCCAUCCCAAUUUUCUCAUUUUUUUGAGUUUUUUCCAUCCCAAUUUUCUCAUUUUUUUGGGUUUUUUCCAUCCCAAUUUUCUCCUUUUUUUUUGUUUUUUUUCCCAUUCCAAUUUUCUCCUUUUUUUGGGUUUUUUUCCAUCCCAAUUUUCUCAUUUUUUGGUUUUUUUUCCCUCCCAAUUUUCUCAUUUUUUGUUUUUUUUCCCAUCCCAAUUUUCCCAUUUUUUGGGUUUUUUUCCAUCCCAAUUUUCCCAUUUUUUGGUUUUUUUUCCCUCCCAAUUUUCUCCUUUUUUGGGGUUUUUUCCAUCCCAAUUUUCUCCUUUUUUUGGGUUUUUUUCCAUCCCAAUUUUCUCAUUUUUUUGGUUUUUUCCAUCCCAAUUUUCUCAUUUUUUGUUUUUUUUUUUUCAUCCCAAUUUUCUCAUUUUUUGGGUUUUUUUCCAUCCCAAUUUUCUCCUUUUUUUGGGUUUUUUUCCAUCCCAAUUUUCUCCUUUUUUUGGGGUUUUUUCCAUCCCAAUUUUCUCCUUUUUUGGGGUUUGUUCAAUCCCAAUUUUCUCCUUUUUUGGUUUUUUUUCCAUCCCAAUUUUCUCCUUUUUUUGGGUUUUUUUCCAUCCCAAUUUUCUCAUUUUUUGGUUUUUUUUCCAUCCCAAUUUUCUCAUUUUUUUGCGUUUUUUUCCAUCCCAAUUUUCUCCUUUUUUUCCAUCCCAAUUUUCUCCUUUUUUGGUUUUUUUUUCCCUCCCAAUUUUCUCCUUUUUUGUUUUUUUUUCCCAUCCCAAUUUUCUCAUUUUUUGGGUUUUUUUCCAUCCCAAUUUUCUAAUUUUUUUUGUUUUUUUUCCACCCCAAUUUUCCCAUUUUUUGGGUUUUUUUCCAUCCCAAUUUUCUAAUUUUUUUGGGUUUUUUCCAUCCCAAUUUUCUCCUUUUUUGGGUUUUUUUUCCAUCCCAAUUUUCUCAUUUUUUUGGGUUUUUUUCCAUCCCAAUUUUCUCCUUUUUUUGGGGUUUGUUCAAUCCCAAUUGUUUCUCCAUCCCAGUUUUCUCCGCUUUUGGGGUUUUCUCCAUCCCAAUUUUUUCUCCUCGUUUGGGGUUUUUUCCAUUCAAAUUUUCUGCUCUUUUGGGGUUUAUCCCAUCACAAAUUUCUCCUCUUUUUGGGGUUUAUUUCAUCCCAAUUUUCUCCUCUUUUUGGGGUUUGUUCCAUCCCAAAUUUUUCUGCUCUUUUGGGGUUAUUUCCAUCACAAUUUUCCC
rnacentral:lncRNA from 1 species